CCGUUGCCAGAUCCGUGAGAUGACGCAGGAGACGAAUCCACGCGACAAUUCGCCGCCGCCAUCGCGGUGCUCCCUUCAUCGGAGUCGCAGUUGAAGUACUUCCCGACGACGUCGCCUGAAACUCCUGAAUUCUCCGACUCCGCAGCAGCGGCAGCACUGUCAUUGUUCGGCGAUCCAGCGGGGGAUGAGUCAGGGAGAAGGAAGGACUCGGUCUCGGAAGGGAAGUAGAGGGAGUCUAGGUCGUCGAAGUCGAUGCCGAUGUCGAAAUUCUCGUCGAAAUUGAAGGAAUUUAGAUCGGAGGCCAAUCCACCUCCUACGUCGUGAUCGGAGGUGAAGAAGCCGACUGGAUCGACGGGGGGAGCAGCCACUGUUUUGUNNNNNNNNNNUAUAUUAAAUAAGAAGAAGGAAGAAGGAAGCAAACAUCGAGUAGCCGUUUGCUUGACGCAAACUAUAAAACAGCCAAGUAAAGACGUAUUCAUUAGGGUCGGAUAAUUAUUGUUUUGGUCACUCUACUUUACUAGAGUUUGUGAAUCGAUCAUGUAAACCGUGUUUUCCAUGCUGUAUCCGUACGGACGGUGUGCUCGCUUCUAACCAGACGAAUGAUAAAGAUGGUCUAGUGUAAUCUCGAUAUGUUUAUGGAUAUGGCUAAAAAAUAUCUUAACGGCUCCCGUUGCCAGAUCCGUGAGAUGACGCAGGAGACGAAUCCACGCGACAAUUCGCCGCCGCCAUCGCGGUGCUCCCUUCAUCGGAGUCGCAGUUGAAGUACUUCCCGACGACGUCGCCUGAAACUCCUGAAUUCUCCGACUCCGCAGCAGCGGCAGCACUGUCAUUGUUCGGCGAUCCAGCGGGGGAUGAGUCAGGGAGAAGGAAGGACUCGGUCUCGGAAGGGAAGUAGAGGGAGUCUAGGUCGUCGAAGUCGAUGCCGAUGUCGAAAUUCUCGUCGAAAUUGAAGGAAUUUAGAUCGGAGGCGAAUCCUCCUCCUCCUCCUACGUCGUGAUCUGAGGUGAAGAAGCCGACUGGAUCAAUGGCGGAAUCAGCCAUUGUUUUGCGAUCGGAGAAGCUCUCCAGAGAGUUCGAUAAUGGAGAGAAGUGGGGGGGUUUUAGUUUUCUCUGAGAAUUAAGAAUUUGGUUGUAGUAAAAAGAUCGAUAGGAUUGAGGUUUUAGAGAGAGAAAGUGAGAUUGUGAAAUAUGUAAAGAAAUUAGUA
rnacentral:lncRNA from 1 species